GAAAUGCGAUACGUAAUGCGAAUUGCAGUAUUCGUGAAUCAUCAAAUCUUUGAACGCAAGUUGCGCUUUCGAGAUAUCCUUGAAAGCAUGCCUCUUUGAGUAUCGGUUACUAUUCUUUCGAUUCACGUCGAAGAGACUGGGCCUAUUCCACUCUUCCUCACAAGGGUCGAGCGGGAUUGACUUCAAGUUUAUGGAGCUAUGUCCUGGAUUUUUGGGAGCAAUCGUUCAGGAUUCCAUCAUAACCAUGCGAUACACUAAAGAUCUCAAAUGAGGUAAGACUACCCGCUGAAUUUAA
rnacentral:misc_RNA from 1 species